rnacentral:rRNA from 1 species
AUGUUAUACCGGUUCUCGUUAGAUCACCGAAGUCAAGCAUCAUUGGGCACGGUCAGUACUUGGGUGGGUGACCACCUGGGAACACCGCGUGCCGUU